rnacentral:sRNA from 1 species
AAGCUGAAACUUGUCUGGAAGCAUCCUUAUGUAGUGUAGAUUCAAAGUUGUGAAAAUCAUGACCCCCUGGGUAGGGUCAGGCCACAAUGGGGGGUCGAAGUUUAACAUAGGAAUAUAUAGAGUAAAUCUUUAAAAAUCUUCUUCUAAGAAACUUAAAUCAGCCAGGAAAGCUGAAACUUGUGUGGACGCAUUCUCAGGUAGUGAAGAUUCAAAGUUGUGAAAAUCAUGACCCCCGGGGGUAGGGUGGGGCCAUAAUGGGGGGUCGAAGUUUAACAUAUGAAUAUAUAGAGUAAAUCUUUAAAAAUCUUCUCCUCAGAAACUAAUCAGCCAGGAAAGCUGAAACUUGUGAGAACGCAUCCUCAGGUAAUGUAGAAACAAAGUUGUGAAAAUCAUGACCCCUGGUGGUAGGGUUAGGCCACAAUGGGGGGGUCGAAGUUUAACAUGGGAAUAUACAUAGUGAAUCUUCAAAAAUCUUCUUCUCAGAAACUAAUUAGCCAGGAAAGCUGAAACUUGUGAGAAAGCAUCCUCAGGUAGUGUAGAUACAAAGUUGUGAAAAUCAUGACCCCCGGGAGUAGGGUGGGGCCACAAUCGGGGGGGGGGGGUCGAAAUUUUACAUAGGAAUAUACAGAGUAAAUCUUUAAAAAUCUUCUUCUCAUGAACCUUAAGAUCAGGAAAGCUGACACUUGUGUGGACGCAUCCUUAGGUAGUGUAGAUUCAAAGUUGUGAAAAUCAUGAACCCCGGGGGUAGGAUGGGGCCACAAUGGGGAGUCAUAGUUUAACAAAGGAAUAUAGGGUUAAUCUUUAAAAAUCUUCUUCUCAGAAACUAAUCAGCCAGAUGAUUCUUUAUAAUUGUUAAGACUUUGGCCCCAGGACAAUUCUUUGGCCUCACGAGAAGGUUCAGAGUUUGAUGUAGGUUUAAAUUCCAUAUAUAAGCUAUUGUUAAGGAUCUUUUUGAGAACGGCAAUACUCAACAUAUGAAAUGACUAUAAAAUCAUCCUGUUAGAAAAGGGACUAAUGAUUAUAAACAUAAGAAUAUCCAGGGGAAAAAUGGAUUUUAUUUAUACAGGAUCUACAUAUAUUAUUGUACAUUAUCCAGAUAGUUUGUAUUAUGACUCCAUUAAGCUGAUUUUAUCAUAUCUAUUGUUCCUCGGGUGAGCGAUGUAGCCCAUGGGCCUAUUGUUCUACACUUAAAUUUUCUUUGACUUAUGAUAUAAGUUAAUAUUCGUAAUGGAAACAAACAAUAUUUUUUGUUCGAAUUCUAUAUUUAUGUAAUAUUGUUUACUCAUAAAAAAGGCAAACAGUGCAUAGCUACUGUACAUGCCGCUUUUCAAUAAAACACAAGCAUAUUAUAGUACAAGUUAAAGCAACUCCUUUCAUUAAUUCAAAUCUUAAAAAUUAAUUUUUUUUUAUCGUGUUUAUUGAUGUAGAAUCAUUCGUCUGCGUGUUUAAUCGUUAUCGUUCGUGUAUCGUAAUAAUUCAGUAAGUUAAUGAUCGUUCGAGUAUCGUGCGAUCGUUCGUGUAUCGUGCGUGUCGUUUGUCAACAAUAACGUUGCUACUACUGUAUAUAACUGUAUACAUCAUCACCAUAAUAGUUUGGAUUUUCUCACCUGCGGACGUGUUACGCAAGUUUUGCAACGCUUGAUGUUCACAAUUAGUAUGUAACAAAAUAGCCCUUGUUAUCUAUAUUUAUAUAACCGAACACUGGUGAUUGGACUUUAUAUUUUGCGUAUUCUAUAACUUUGACUAUACUGAUUGUACGUUAUAUAUUAUUCUCUGGACUAUUGUGAUUUGACUUUAAUAUUUAAUUUCAGAAUCAGUUUCGAAUGCUUUUGUAAAGUAAAUAUCUUUAUUUGGUGUAUAUUCCAUGUUAAUUGAACCAUGAAUAGUAUGUGUCCAUCAAAGACUAUAUUGCUUUAAAGGAAAGUCAGAGAGAGCCAACAGCUGCCAUGUUUACAUAUUGCUGUGGUGUAUUGUUUUAAGGUUAUGUUCCUUUGAUGAUGGUAAUAAAAUUCUUGCUGGUCAGUAUGUUACCAAUUUGGACAUUAUGUUUCCAGAUUGGUACACAAAUACCCUAAGGGGGUUAAGUUUAAUGUAAACUAAACAAUUAGACGAGAAUAUAUACAUAAAUCUGCUUAUUGAAGUCAAUAAGACCUUUGCUUAAUUCAUGUAGAUGACAAUAACUGGUCACGAUACAGUGACCCUCCACCCUAAUAAAUAUUUGUCGCAAUCUUGGUUGACCCUAAGAACACUGAUUUGGGGCGGGUUCUUGACUGACCAGCUUGACGCCAUCUUGGAGCAUCGUAGUAACAAGCUGGUGGCGCCCUAUGACGGUAAUUUUCAACAACCAAUGAACACUCGUUUUACUUUUCUAGUUGUUUCCCCCAAUAGCAUAAAACUUACAAUUUCUCGCAAGUUAAGUUAAAUCUGACACUCUCUCGAACCGGCAACAUCUCUCUCUCUCUGACUUCCCCGAAUUGGGACUGUGUAUUUAGUUUGCUUUUUGUCAAAUAAAACCACUAUACAUUC